GGGUGCAUAGCUCAGCGGUUAGAGCACAACGCUUAUAACGUUGCGGUCGAUGGUUCGAAUCCAUCUGCACCCA
rnacentral:tRNA from 1 species